GGUUGACCUCGGAUUAGGUAGGAAUACCCGU
rnacentral:rRNA from 2 species